rnacentral:rRNA from 1 species
GACGAACGCUGGCGGCGUGCCUAACACAUGCAAGUUGAGCGACGAACCAGGGCUUGCCCUGGGGCAAAGCAGCGAACGGGUGAGUAACACGUGGGUAACCUACCCCGAUAACCGGGACAACCCGAGGAAACUCGGGCUAAUACCGGAUGUGCUCACUGGACUUCGGUUCAGUGCGUAAAGGAAGCUUCGGCCUCCGUAUCGGGAGGGGCCCGCGGCCCAUUAGUUGGUUGGUGAGGUAACGGCUCACCAAGACCGCGAUGGGUAGCUGGUCUGAGAGGACGAUCAGCCACACUGGGACUGAGACACGGCCCAGACUCCUACGGGAGGCAGCAGUGGGGAAUCUUGCGCAAUGCGCGAAAGCGUGACGCAGCAACGCCGCGUGGGGGAAGAAGGCCUUCGGGUUGUAAACCCCUUUCAGGAGGGACGAAGGUUCGGCGGUGAAUAGCCGUCCGGACUGACGGUACCUCCACAAGAAGCCCCGGCUAACUACGUG